UACGGAGGGUGCAAGCGUUAUCCGGAUUCACUGGGUUUAAAGGGUGCGUAGGCGGGCAGGUAAGUCCGUGGUGAAAUCUCCAAGCUUAACUUGGAAACUGCCGUGGAUACUAUUUGUCUUGAAUACCGUGGAGGUCAGCGGAAUAUGUCAUGUAGCGGUGAAAUGCUUAGAUAUGACAUAGAACACCAAUUGCGAAGGCAGCUGGCUACACGAAUAUUGACACUGAGGCACGAAAGCGUGGGGAUCAAACAGG
rnacentral:rRNA from 1 species